UACGUAGGGUGCAAGCGUUAAUCGGAAUUACUGGGCGUAAAGCGUGCGCAGGCGGUUUUGUAAGUCUGUCGUGAAAGCCCCGGGCUCAACCUGGGAAUUGCGAUGGAGACUGCAAGGCUUGAAUCUGGCAGAGGGGGGUAGAAUUCCACGUGUAGCAGUGAAAUGCGUAGAGAUGUGGAGGAACACCGAUGGCGAAGGCAGCCCCCUGGG
rnacentral:rRNA from 1 species